GCCUUCGUGCUGUAAUUGUCAGCACACUGAGCCGGUAUUUCAGAGGUCCGUGGUUCGAUUCCCGGGCGAAGGCC
rfam:Stegodyphus mimosarum contig5053, whole genome shotgun sequence.